CAGGCUUAAGCCACCUCGCCCAGCCUGGUGUCUCUUCUUAAAAGGACACUAAUCCCAUUAUAGGGUUAGUAAUUCCGGUUAGACUUCAACUAACCCUAAUGGUCUCCCAAAGGCCCCACCUCCAAAUAUCAUCACAGUAGAGGUUAGGGCUGCAACACAUGAACUGCGGGGGGACACAACUCAGUCUAUAGCAAACCCCUCGCAGAGGGCCUGGGAUAUGUCUUCCCGGCAGAUGAGAGGACUGGGCGUGACGAGACGAAGUGGUUGCCUGCAGAGAAAGAAGGGUAUGGUGACACUGCCAUCCUGGCUACCUUUGGCCACUCCAGCUUAUGGAAUGUAAUAGGGCCCAGGAGCCAGUUCCCAUGCACCUCAGGCCCCAUAUUCUCUUAGCCAAGCCCUGAGAAUACAUCAAGAACAGGUGAGGGCAUGUGGACGCAGGUGUGGGGAACUCCCAGCAGCUGGCCCCUCUUCCUGCUAAUUCUGCUCUGAUUUCCACCUUUGCUGGCCUCUCCCCAGUGCUGCUGAAUACACCUCAUUCUGGUGGCCUGCCAGGAGGGAGACAGUGUGACGUGGUGGGCUCAGGACCCUAUUUGGACAAGUAACACAGUGGCUCAGAGAGUAGACUUGGAGCCAGGCUGCCCGGUUUGUAACCCAGCUUGACCAUUGUGAUCUGAGGCAGGUGCUAGGCUUGGAGGUGCAGCAGCCGCUGUGCUGUAAUGCAGGCUCCACGCUGAGCAAGUUGGAGCAGGAGCCUGCCUCUCCAGUGGCAACCCCAGUAGCUGCUGAACUACAGACUUCCUCUCAUGUGAGGGAAAAAAAAAAACUUAGACUCUGUCUGUGUUUGUCAGAUUUUCUUGCUGCCUCCAUCAGCACAAAGUCUGAGAAAGAAGAGAAGUGACUGGGAAGUGACAUAUGAGUGUCCCACCACUGAUGACAGUAAUGAGAAUCAGCAGAACAGCAGCCACGCGAGCAAACAUUUCCUGAGCAUUGAC